CGGCAUCUUUCUUGCCUUUUCAUUUCUUAUCUACACAGUCUCCAUUUUGCUGCUCAUAAUCCAGCCAUACCUCCGAAGUCUACAGCGCCAACACCAUCGAUUUGGCCACACCUUCAUUCUAGAUUUGGCCAUUUUCGAUUUCGCCGCACAUUUGUUCCGACCAUUGCCUCGAAAUUAUGACAGAAAAGGUAAAAGCUGAAAUUUACUGUAAAAUCUAAAAUUAUUUUUGAAAUUUGUUUUAAAAUCUAGGAAGAGAAAUGAGUUCAAAUCUCUAUUUUCGUUGUGUUUGAAAUGCUAAGUAAGAUUUAUGAAGCUGUAAAUGUUGGAAAUGCUGUGUCGCACCAUCAUCUUUCUUUGUAACUUUCUUCAAAUUUGGGAAAAAAAUUUAUCAAAUCUAAAAACUUUUCCUCUUUCCAGCCACACUGUUUUUAGUUGCUAUCGAUUUUCUUCAAGUAUGUUCCAUAUCUUUUGAUAAGGGGAUUAUUUGUAUCUGGGUUCAAUCUUUUUAUGUUUGUUGUGUGAUUCCUUUUUUUUUUUUUCUUUUUAAUGACGGGAAAGCUUCAGAACAACUAGAACUCUUCAAAGUUAGAGUAGAGUAAUUUUGCUCUGUGAAUUUGAUGUAUAGGAUGAUGCGUGUAGAUAAAUCUCCAUUUUCAUUGUGUGUGAAAUCUGAAAUUUUAUUUGAUUUGAAGUAUAAAUAUGAUACUUAUUUUCAGCAGAAUAGGCAGGAAUUUGUUAAGUAGAAACAUGAUGAUUUUGUUAAUUCCAUGGAAGUUUCUCCUGUAGACAACGUACUCAUAAGAAGCCCAAUUUGUAUAUGUUAUAAACGACCAUAACUGAAUAUGUUGCAUCAAUCAGCUUUUUGUCGCAGGAAAAGAAAUUUUGGACGAUGUUGAAACCGUUAUGUUGGUGGAGUCCGAUGACGAGAAUGAUCUUGAAAAUACAAAAUUGCUGGGUCAUGGCGCAACAUGAUGGAAUGGUGUGACUGUGACUGUACCUGAGGUGGGUGAUGUGAUCUCGUUAAUUUGUGUGUUUUAAGUAAUAUUCAACGGUUUUUAUCUUGUACUUAUUGUAAUAAUUGUUGACAACGUAGUUUUCAUUUUUGAGGUAUAGAACUGUCUGAGUUUUGUUCUCGAGCAUAAAGGGAAGAAUGGUUGUGGGAGACUCUUCAAGGAAAAUUGGAGGCAAACUCGUAGAGGGGUUCUGUAUACAUAUAUUGUUUAAUGGUUGGUCCAGGAGAACUUCUGUGCUUCAUGUUUUGUGAGUUAUUAGCGCUUGUGAGCAAGGUGAGUUAAUGUAUUGGAUGCUGAAGAAUAUUGGAAACUAUGUAGAUUGGAUGCUCAUAUUAUCUCAAGUGUUAC
rnacentral:lncRNA from 1 species